CCCUUAGAUGUUCUGGGCUGCACGCGCGCUACACUGAUGCGCUCAACGAGUUUUAACCUUGCCUGGAAGGGUUGGGUAAUCUUUUUAAAACGCAUCGUGAUGGGGAUAGAUUAUUGCAAUUAUUAAUCUUCAACGAGGAAUUCCUAGUAAGCGCAAGUCAUCAACUUGCAUUGAUUACGUCCCUGCCCUUUGUACACACCGCCCGUCGCACCUACCGAUUGAAUGGUCCGGUGAAGCCUCCGGAUUGGCGCGCACCUCGGUGCCGCCGAGAAGUUGGCUAAACCUUACCAUUUAGAGGAAGGUGAAGUCGUAACA
rnacentral:rRNA from 1 species